UGAAUAACAGAAAUAAGGAUUUUUUGACUGACUGUUUUUAAUAUUACACCUUAAAAUGGUGAAAUGUUCCUCACUGACUUGUAACAAAGGAUACAGCUGCAUUCUUUCCUUCCAUUGAGGUGGAGAAAUUUGUGCUUUCUGAAUAUGAACAGAUAGGACCAAAAAUAUGAACUUAAGACUGAAAGGGGAAGACUUGGGUCACUGAAUUAGGAUCCUUGCAAUUGCAGUUAUCCACAGCAUGUAACCUUUUCAUUGGUUGUCGCAUUUUUUUCCCAGGAUUCCUAAUAUACACAUAAAUGUGCAUAUAUGUACAUUUCAUUAUUCUUUCUUUGAAUGUAAAACUUUUCUUCUUUACCUUUAUUUUUUUUGUUCCUCCAGAGAACACCCCCUCACUGUUUUAAAUUCAGGUGUCGCUGCAGUGUAUAAGCAGACAUCCCUCUUCCUAUUGUAAGUAGGUUGUGUGCUGUACUUUUAGUGCCUUUGUUGUGUAACAGUCACCUUCUCUCUGUGACUGCAGAGGAGUCACUUUGCUCAGGUGCCUUUUACUAAAGAGCACUGUGCAUACAGAACAAUCCAAGUCAAAUGCAGAAGGCAGCUUACAUUUAUCAAGGCUAAACCAUAUAGAAGAUCACUGGGAUUAAUGAGGUACUUGGCUCACCACCCCACUAAGGUGCCUGAAGAGCGUCUGCUGGCCAAGAAAGGUUAUCAUCUGGCUGGAACUGCCUUCCUAAGGAGAAUGUCAGUUGCAGAGACAGAGAAGGAAUUGGAAAGAACAUCAAAUGGUAAUAGUGCAUCCAUUCUUACUGACUGAAAACAUGUCCCAGAGGCCUCUUUCUCUUCCUCUGGAAUAUUCUCUUUACUCAUUUUUAUUGAGAAGAAUCUCUAUGGACAUACAGAAGUACAAAGUGCUUUUAUGGAACAUGAAAUAGUGCCGCACCCUAUCCUAAGGUGUUGGCUGCCUUUGUACUUUAUUUAUUCAUUUAUGUUAAUUAAAAAUACAGGAGGGGAAAAUAUGGACAGGUAAGCACAGAAAGGCUCAAUGUGGUGGAGUUUGGAGGCAGGCACAUACAUCUGAUUGCUAAUUCAUCAUUCAAAUGCUGAAACAUAAGACAGAGAAGAAUUUAAAAACUAAUCAGAGUGCAAAUGUAAGGUCAUUUCUGACGGCUGUUUCUCUGUACUUUGUCUUAUUGUGUUUAUUUAAGCACUUAUGUGGAGGUAAACUGAGAUUUUCUUUUUCAUAAGACCAGAAUAUAUGAACUCGUGAAUGCAAACAAAUAGUGAGAAGUGGUGAUAUUGAAAUGUGCCCAGAGGAGGGAAUGGCAGUGUUGGCAUAAGCCAUUUUAGAGGUUUCCUUCUCACUGUUUCCUCUGUAUUUUACUGUCAUGAAAUAAGAAAGAAUAUGAAACUUUUGGCCAUACUAAAACGUGCCAGUCUGUUCAGAUUUAUGCAGAGCUCUGUAGAUAAUGGGGAUCCUUUCAGGAAACCCAGACAGACAAACUUCAGGAUUGCCUCCCUAUCCCCCUGCUGCCACUGAUUCUAUGCUGACAGACCAUAGAGGUAACAGCAGAUGUGAACUUUUCAUUGGAGCAAAUACUAAUCAGUUAAAUUGUUACCUUUGAUAAGAGAAAUUUAUAGAUCAUGAACAC
ensembl:lncRNA